GUCCAAUUCAUCUGAAAAUUUCACGGCAGAUAGAACUUGACAUGAUAAACAAUUUUACCCCAUGUCAGAUUUGCUCUAAAUGCUUUGGUUUUUGAGUUAUAAGCCAAAAUCUUCAUUUUACCCCUAUGUUCUAUUUUUAGCCAUGGCGGCCAUCUUGGUUGGUUGGCCGGUUCACCGAACACAUUUUUUAAACUAGAUACCCUAAUGAUGAUUGUGGUCAAGUUUGGUUAAAUUUGGCCCAGUAGUUUCAGAGGAGAAGAUUUUUGUAAAAGUUAACGACGCCGGACGACGACAGACGACGGAUGACA
rnacentral:lncRNA from 1 species